CCUUCACUGGGAGAUGAGACUUACAUGAGGGAUGGGCUGAUUACAAAAUGGGCUGAUUGGCUUUGGGUUGCCUUGCGAUGAAAUGCACAGCUGGUAAAAGCACUGCACUCACUGUCUUCUCCCGAAGUAUUUCCCUCCUUUUGGGGAUCCAGGAUCUAGUAUAAAAUGGCACCCUGAGUUUUGGGCAUCUGUCUUGUGUGAACAUAUUGGCUAAAGUUGAAAGGGUAUUAUUCAGUUUUUCCAUAAACUAAACAUUGGAAUAGAAGCACAACAGGUUUUCCUUAGAGCACUGAUCUGCUCUUUCACAAAAAAAUGUAAAUGGCUAUAAAAAGUUUAUGAGAAUCUCACCUUAUGGUUAAACAUUAAAAUUGGGUAAAUAUGUCUACAAGGUUUUAUUAAAAAUUGGGUUUGACAUUAAUAGUACAUUAAUGUAAAGGUGAAACUUGGCUUAUUUGGUAUAAAAAUCAUACAGGAAGCAUUAUCAAAUGGGAAAUGGUGUUUUACUUUCUUUGGACUAUAUUUGUGUAAUUGUGUUAUUGAUAUAUGAUCUAAAGUUAUGGGAAACUCCUAUAAUUCUUAUAUGACUUUGUGUAUGUUAUUAAUAAUUAUAAUUGUUAUGUAAAGUUUUGUGUACCACAGAAGUAACCAAAUUUCCUUAUCAAUUGUGGCUUUAAUAGUGGCUGUCCUAAAACUUUUUAUUAUCCAUAGACAAUUGUUGUUUUGUUUUAUUCCUCUUUAGAAGGUGGUUUAUAAUCAACUGUAGAACUCUAGCAGGUAUUCUUAAUUGCAGGUUUUCUGAUAACUUUGAAAAUUGUAACAGAAUAGAGGAAACAACUUUCAGAACUCUCAUGAAGAGCUGGAAUGUUCAUGAAUAUCAAAUAGAACAGGAGUUAACUGAAUUAGCUGAACCAAAAGAAAACUGAAGUAAUCUUUUUAACUUUUCUUAAAAUGUUGCUGAUCCUUUGUUCUGUUUUUCAGAGUCAAGGAAACUUUUCUUUUGAGCUAUUUACAGCUUGUAGCAAUUGAGUAAAGUAUACUGCUGUGAACAAAAUUUGGAACAUAUUUGUUUCUCUCUACCUGAUUUCUCCAGGUUUUGGAAGCUAGUUGUGAGUAUUCUUAACUUAUAGCAAUAUAGUUAUUUGCAUAAGUGCAAUAAGAAUCUGUUUUCUUUUUUAACAGGACACAAUUGGAGAAAUUUGUUAUUUUACCAAGGCUCUGACAGGAAUCCUUUGUUUUCCUUUAAGGAAUUAAACUUAACUUUUAGAGCCAAUAAAAUAUUUCUCUUUAAAACUUAUCACAAGGAGUAACAGAUGGAUUCUGAGUGGCCAGUCGGGGCCAGAGAGCCAGAACAUGCAGGUCUUAAAAUGCCAAUGCAGCUGAUUGGCAUCCAAUCAAUAAGCAUACAAUAGUUCAGCCUUCUCUUAACAGGAGAGCCAAAGCAAGCCACAUAGGGGACAACUUCCAGUUAAUGGUUGCUAGGAAAGGCCUUUGGGCAAACUCAUUUCUGUCUUCUUGCUCCGUGGAUACUCUCAUACUCCAAGGAUCUCAUUACUGCCACAGACCCAUUUUUGUACUUGUGUAUUUUCAGCCAAGUUUUGCUGGAGUUAAAAAAUAUAUAUGUGUAUAUAUAUACUGCUUCCUUUAAGAUAAUUUUCUGGCAUGGUUCUAUUUCAAAGUCCUGGUUCUUCUUCUCUGCCUUUGUUCUGAGAACCUGUGUUCUUGUACCAGCUAGCUUGGUUCCUCUCCUCUGGCUUCCUUCCCCGAUGACUCUGAGCACAUUCCCUGGGCUUUGAGCUCUGUUGUCUGUCUAGUGGGGAUCAGGCCUUCCACCAGCCAUUCUCAGCUGGACUUUGAAAAGAAGGGGUCGGAACUUAGGUUUUGCCCUGCGGUUUUUGCCAGGCCUUAGUUUUUGCCCUGGAGUUUAGAGAGAGAAUUCAAAUUCCCUGGCAAAAGCAAGACAGAGACUCAAUCUUUGAGAGGAAUACAACUUUAGAACAAGUUUUAUUUCUUUUUUUACUUUUACUGUUUA
rnacentral:lncRNA from 1 species